AUGCUUGCCCAGCAGUGGCUUCGCUGCACAUCUGGGGCUGGGGAGCCCUCUCUAGCAAAGGCACCAUAUCUAGCUGGGUUAGACUCUGUCUCACAAGAAAAGGAGUUCCUUGUGCCCUUUAGGUCUUUAGAUGUGUCCCUAAUGUCCCCCAGUUUUGAUUUACUGUUUUGGGUGGGGACGGCUGCAGAGAUUUGCACUGGACUUACCCACUAUGACGGCCAAGGAAACGGUGUCUACCAUCAGGAAUGCCUGCUCUGUCUGUCCUGCCACAGGGGAGAUGACCCCUGGGCAAAUGCAGACUACAGGCUGGUGGAUCAGACCUCGCCAGAAUUCCACUGCUUACCUGGCUCCUACCCGGCCCCUCGCUCUCAUGGGAGCCCUGAGGACGCUUCAGGCUUUCAAAUGCCAGCAUCGCCCAGACCGCGUCCAGCACUUCUCAAGAUGUGUAUUUCCCUUGCUCCGUGUCCAGUCACCGAGGUCAGCGGCAGAGUCAGCCUUCACUUUACUCUGGUCCUUGGCCCCACUCCAGCCUGUAACUCAUUAGAGAGCUGCCUCCAGCGUUGGACAAGUGCUUCUGCCUGCCAUCACCCCCGUCCCUGUCAGCCAGUCCAGGGCUGUGACCGACCUCCGAUGUCUGUUCCAAAGGACGGCCAGCAUCCGUGGUGUCACAGGACUUUCGGUCCCCGUCUGCCAUGGCUGUUCUGACAUUCACCCCUCCUCACGGUGUCUCUCACUCUAGAAGCCUCUGGGCGGUGAAACAGUGCAGCGCACGAUGCUGUCUCCCGGGGUCCUCGUCCUCAGAAAAGGACCCACAGCCCUUGAGCUCUCCACCGUCCACCCCACGAUGCUUAUCCAGCCUGCCACGGCUGUGGGUCCCGGACUCCUUCGGGCUGUGGCCCCUCUGUCAGCCAGUGGCCCAGCACGCCCCCACCGGGAUACACUACAACUUAUACCAGGAGUGUCUCAGCAGGUCCUGGGGAGCCGGGGCAGGGGCCGGCCCCUCUCACAGAGGAGGCACGGUUUGGAGAGGUCCUGUUGCACCUGUUUCUUCCCGGCAGACGUGGGAGCCGGCCUCUCUGACCACCGCGUCUGUGCAUGUCUUCCCCGCCUCUCCGUGCAGCCUUCCACUUUUCUGGAGCUUCAUGGGUGGAACCAGCAGCCCCCCAGGACACCAUUCUCAAGGUUGUGCCCCCCAGACUCACCCACCCCGACAGUACGGCCCUCCCCCUCACCGUCUGCCGCCAGUGGCAGCGUGAUGGUGGCACCCGCUGGACAGAGCGAGUGCCUGGCCUGCACACCUCCCUUGUGCUGCCUGUCUGUGGCUGGCUCUGAAGCGGCGGACGGCGCCUCAGCCAUGUCCUGGGCUGACCCCAGAGCUGUGUGAAGCGAAACACCCUGAGCCUUCUCCCUCGUGCUGAGCCUUUGGCCCCUACUCACUGGCAAGCGGUGACCUUGGGUGGGGGGCCCUCCUUAGCCUGCCCCCACUGCUCCCUCAGCAUCCCCUGAUGCUCCCUCAGCCCCCUGAUCCUCAGAGCCUGGGCCCUGUCCCUUUUCAGGUUCCCUGGCCCCCGAAGGCCUGGGGCUGGAACCCUGCCUGCCACCUGGGACAGGUGGUCAUCAGUGGGGCAAUCUGGGUGGGGGGGCCCUGCCGUCCUCCCCAUAUGCCCAAGACCAGCACCCGGAUGUGGACUGAGCCUGUGCCAGG
rnacentral:lncRNA from 13 species